AACGAACGCUGGCGGCGUGCUUAACACAUGCAAGUCGAGCGGUAACAGGCGUAGCAAUACGUGCUGACGAGCGGCGAACGGGUGAGUAAUGCUUCGGAAUCUUCCUUGUAGUGGGGAAUAACCUGGGGAAACUCAGGCUAAUGCCGCAUACGAACCAUGGUUGAAAGCGGGGGAUCGCAAGACCUCGCGCUAUAAGACGAGCCGACGUCGGAUUAGCUAGUUGGUGGGGUAAAGGCCUACCAAGGCGACGAUCCGUAGCUGGUCUGAGAGGACGACCAGCCACACUGGGACUGAGACACGGCCCAGACUCCUACGGGAGGCAGCAGUGGGGAAUAUUGGACAAUGGGGGAAACCCUGAUCCAGCAAUGCCGCGUGUGUGAAGAAGGCCUGCGGGUUGUAAAGCACUUUCAGUAGAGAAGGACUGCCUGGAGCUAACAUCUCCGGGUUUUGACGUAACCUACAGAAGAAGCACCGGCUAACUCCGUGCCAGCCGCCGCAGUAA
rnacentral:rRNA from 1 species